GAUGAACGCUAGCGGGAGGCUUAACACAUGCAAGCCGAGGGGUAUAGUUCUUUCGGGAACUAGAGACCGGCGCACGGGUGCGUAACGCGUAUGCAACUUGCCCUACUGAAAAGGAUAGCCCUUCGAAAGGAGGAUUAAUACUUUAUAACAGAUUUAAUGGCAUCAUUAGAUUUUGAAAGAUUUAUCGCAGUAGGAUAGGCAUGCGUAAGAUUAGUUAGUUGGUGAGGUAACGGCUCACCAAGACGAUGAUCUUUAGGGGGCCUGAGAGGGUGAACCCCCACACUGGUACUGAGACACGGACCAGACUCCUACGGGAGGCAGCAGUGAGGAAUAUUGAACAAUGGGUGGAAGCCUGAUCCAGCCAUCCCGCGUGUAGGAUGACGGCCUUAUGGGUUGUAAACUACUUUUAUCUGGGGAUAAACCUACUUACGUGUAAGUAGCUGAAGGUACCAGAAGAAUAAGCACCGGCUAACUCCGUG
rnacentral:rRNA from 1 species